UUACGGCCGUACCAUGCUGAAUAUACCGGUUCUCGUUAGAUCACCGAAGUCAAGCAUCAUUGGGCGCGGUCAGUACUUGGGUGGGUGACCACCUGGGAACACUGCGUGCCGUU